rnacentral:rRNA from 1 species
GUGUCAGCUCGUGUGUGAGAUGGUUGGGUUAAGUCCCGCAACGAGCGCAACCUUGUGUUUAGUUGCAAACAGGUCAAGCUGUGCACUCUAGACAGACUGCCGUGGACAACACGGAGGAAGGUGGGGAUGACGUCAAAUCAUCAUGCCCCUUAUGAUCUGGGCUACACACGUGCUACAAUGGCCGGUACAACGGGCAGCGAAGGAGCGAUCCGGAGCGAAUCCUAAAAAGCCGGUCCCAGUUCGGAUUGCAGGCUGAAACUCGCCUACAUGAAGUUGGAGUUGCUAGUAAUCGCGAAUCAGAAUGUCGCGGUGAAUGCGUUCCCGGGUCUU